CAAUAGCGUAUAUUUAAGUUGUUGCAGUUAAAAAGCUCGUAGUCGGAUUUUGGCUGAGAACGAACGGUCCGCCGUUAGGUGUGCACUGUUUGGUCUCAGCUUCCUGGUGAGGAGGUGUGCUUCACGGCCACUUAGUCACCGUGGUUACUUUGAAAAAAUUAGAGUGUUCAAAGCGGGCUUACGCUUGAAUAUAUUAGCAUGGAAUAACACCAUAGGACUCCUGUCCUAUUUCGUUGGUCUCGGGACGGGAGUAAUGAUUAAGAGGAACAGUUGGGGGCAUUCGUAUUUCAUUGUCAGAGGUGAAAUUCUUGGAUUUAUGAAAGACGAACUUCUGCGAAAGCAUUUACCAAGGAUGUUUUCAUUGA
rnacentral:rRNA from 1 species